rnacentral:rRNA from 1 species
UACGGGGGGGGCAAGCGUUGUUCGGAAUUACUGGGCGUAAAGGGCUCGUAGGCGGCCAACUAAGUCAUACGUGAAAUCCCACGGCUCAACCGUGGAACUGCUUGGUAUACUGGUCGUCUUGAGCCAUCUAGGGGCUGUCGGAACAAAUGGUGGAGCGGUGAAAUGCGUAGAUAUCGAGAGGAACACCUGCGGCGAAGGCGGGUUGCUGGGCUGACACUGACGCUGAUGCGCGAAAGCGUGGGGAGCAAACAGG